rnacentral:rRNA from 1 species
UACGUAGGGGGCAAGCGUUGUCCGGAAUCAUUGGGCGUAAAGAGCGCGUAGGCGGCCAGAUAAGUCCGGUGUGAAAGUCAAAGGCUCAACCUUUGAAUGUCGCUGGAAACUGUCUGGCUAGAGUCCGGAAGGGGCGAGUGGAAUUCCUGGUGUAGCGGUGAAAUGCGCAGAUAUCAGGAGGAACACCAAUGGCGAAGGCAGCUCGCUGGAACGGUACUGACGCUGAGGCGCGAAAGCGUGGGGAGCGAACAGG